rnacentral:rRNA from 1 species
UGGGGAAUAUUGGACAAUGGGCGAAAGCCUGAUCCAGCCAUGCCGCGUGUGUGAAGAAGGUCUUCGGAUUGUAAAGCACUUUAAGUUGGGAGGAAGGGCAUUAACCUAAUACGUUAGUGUUUUGACGUUACCGACAGAAUAAGCACCGGCUAACUCUGUGCCAGCAGCCGCGGUAAUACAGAGGGUGCAAGCGUUAAUCGGAAUUACUGGGCGUAAAGCGCGCGUAGGUGGUUUGUUAAGUUGGAUGUGAAAGCCCCGGGCUCAACCUGGGAACUGCAUCCAAAACUGGCAAGCUAGAGUACGGUAGAGGGUGGUGGAAUUUCCUGUGUAGCGGUGAAAUGCGUUGAUAUAGGAAGGAACACCAGUGGCGAAGGCGACCACCUGGACUGAUACUGACACUGAGGUGCGAAAGCGUGGGGAGCAAACA